UACGAAGGGGGCUAGCGUUGUUCGGAAUUACUGGGCGUAAAGCGCGCGCAGGCGGUCCUUUAAGUCAGGGGUGAAAGCCCAGAGCUCAACUCUGGAACGGCCUUUGAAACUAGAGGACUUGGGUACGGGAGAGGUGAGUGGAAUUCCGAGUGUAGAGGUGAAAUUCGUAGAUAUUCGGAAGAACACCAGUGGCGAAGGCGGCUCACUGGCCCGUUACCGACGCUCAGGCGCGACAGCGUGGGGAGCAAACAGG
rnacentral:rRNA from 1 species